rnacentral:rRNA from 1 species
UACCAGCUCUCCGAGUAGUGUGGAUGUUUAUUGGGCCUAAAGCAUCCGUAGCUUGCUAAGCAAGUCCUCUGUUAAAUCCACCGAUUUAAUCGUUGGAUUGCGGGGGAUACUGUUUGGCUAGGGGACGGGAGAGGCCGACGGUAUUUCCGGGGGUAGGGGUGAAAUCCUAUAAUCCCGGGAAGACCACCAGUGGCGAAGGCUGUCGGCUAGAACGCGCCCGACGGUGAGGGAUGAAAGCUGGGGGAGCGAACCGGAUUAGAUACCCGGGUAGUCCCAGCUGUAAACGAUGCAGGCUAGGUGUUUGGGCGGCCACGAGCCGCCCUAGUGCCGCAGGGAAGCUGUUAAGCCUGCCGCCUGGGGAGUACGGCCGCAAGGCUGAAACUUAAAGGAUUGGCGGGGGAGCACCACAAGGGGUGAAGCUUGCGGUUU